GAUGAACGCUGGCGGCGUGCCUAAUACAUGCAAGUCGAGCGAACAGACGAGGAGCUUGCUCCUCUGACGUCAGCGGCGGACGGGUGAGUAACACGUGGAUAACCUACCUAUAAGACUGGGAUAACUUCGGGAAACCGGAGCUAAUACCGGAUAAUAUAUUGAACCGCAUGGUUCAAUAGUGAAAGACGGUUUUGCUGUCACUUAUAGAUGGAUCCGCGCCGCAUUAGCUAGUUGGUAAGGUAACGGCUUACCAAGGCGACGAUGCGUAGCCGACCUGAGAGGGUGAUCAGCCACACUGGAACUGAGACACGGUCCAGACUCCUACGGGAGGCAGCAGUAGGGAAUCUUCCGCAAUGGGCGAAAGCCUGACGGAGCAACGCCGCGUGAGUGAUGAAGGUCUUCGGAUCGUAAAACUCUGUUAUUAGGGAAGAAAAAAUGUGUAAGUAACUAUGCACGUCUUGACGGUACCUAAUCAGAAAGCCACGGCUAACUACGUG
rnacentral:rRNA from 1 species